rnacentral:rRNA from 1 species
UAGGGANUCUUCCGCAAUGGGCGAAAGCCUGACGGAGCAACGCCGCGUGAGUGAUGAAGGUCUUCGGAUCGUAAAACUCUGUUAUUAGGGAAGAACAAAUGUGUAAGUAACUAUGCACGUCUUGACGGUACCUAAUCAGAAAGCCACGGCUAACUACGUGCCAGCAGCCGCGGUAAUACGUAGGUGGCAAGCGUUAUCCGGAAUUAUUGGGCGUAAAGCGCGCGUAGGCGGUUUUUUAAGUCUGAUGUGAAAGCCCACGGCUCAACCGUGGAGGGUCAUUGGAAACUGGAAAACUUGAGUGCAGAAGAGGAAAGUGGAAUUCCAUGUGUAGCGGUGAAAUGCGCAGAGAUAUGGAGGAACACCAGUGGCGAAGGCGACUUUCUGGUCUGUAACUGACGCUGAUGUGCGAAAGCGUGGGGAUCAAACAGGAUUAGAUACCCUGGUAGUCCACGCCGUAAACGAUGAGUGCUAAGUGUUAGGGGGUUUCCGCCCCUUAGUGCUGCAGCUAACGCAUUAAGCACUCCGCCUGGGGAGUACGACCGCAAGGUUG